UACAGAGGGGGCAAGCGUUGUUCGGAAUUACUGGGCGUAAAGGGCGCGUAGGCGGCCCGCUAAGUCGAACGUGAAAUCCCCGGGCUCAACCCGGGAACUGCGUCCGAUACUGGUGGGCUUGAAUCCGGGAGAGGGAUGCGGAAUUCCAGGUGUAGCGGUGAAAUGCGUAGAUAUCUGGAGGAACACCGGUGGCGAAGGCGGCAUCCUGGACCGGUAUUGACGCUGAGGCGCGAAAGCCAGGGGAGCAAACGGGG
rnacentral:rRNA from 1 species